GAUGAAGAACGUAGUGAAAUGCGAUAAGUAAUGUGAAUUGCAGAAUUCAGUGAACCAUCGAAUCUUUGAACGCACAUUGCGCCCGCCAGUAUUCUGGCGGGCAUGCCUGUCCGAGCGUCAUCUCAACCCUCGAGCCCCCCCGGGGGCUCGGCGUUGGGGACCGGCCCCGCCCCAGGGCGCGCCGCCCCCCAAAUCCAGUGGCGGUCCCGCCGCAGCCUCCCCUGCGCAGUAGCUUGCACACUCGCACUGGAGAGCGGCGCGGCCACGCCGUAAAACCCCCCGACCACGGAGCCCCGGCUCCUGAACGUUGACCUCGGAUCAGGUAGGAAUACCCGCUGAACUUAAGCAUAUCAAUAAGCGGAGGA
rnacentral:misc_RNA from 1 species